rnacentral:rRNA from 1 species
AUUGAACGCUGGCGGCAGGCAUAACACAUGCAAGUCGAACGAGUGGCGGACGGGUGAGUAAUGUCUGGGAAACUGCCUGAUGGAGGGGGAUAACUACUGGAAACGGUAGCUAAUACCGCAUACCAUCAGAUGUGCCCAGAUGGGAUUAGCUAGUUGGUGGGGUAAUGGCGCACCAAGGCGACGAUCCCUAGCUGGUCUGAGAGGAUGACCGCACCAACAGGAACUGAGACAAGGUCCAGACACCUACGGGAGGAAGCAGUGGGGAAUAUUGCACAAGGGGCGAAAGCCUGAUGAAGCCACGCCGCGUGUAUGAAGAAGGCCUUCGGGUUGUAAAGUACUUCCAGCGGGGAGGCGUUACCCGCAGAAGAAGCACCGGCUAACUCCGUGCCAGCCGCCGCGGUAAUUC